UACGUAGGGGACGAGCGUUGUCCGGAAUUACUGGGCGUAAAGGGCGCGCAGGCUGUUAUGCGAGUCUGCUGUGAAAUGUACCGGCUCAACCGGUGAAUUGCGGCGGAUACCGCAUAGCUGGAGUACUGGAGAGGGAAGUGGAAUUCCCGGUGUAGCGGUGAAAUGCGUAGAUAUCAGGAGGAACACCAAUGGCGAAGGCAGGUCUCUGGGCAGUUACUGACGCUGAGGAGCGAAAGCAUGGGUAGCGAACAGGAUUAGA
rnacentral:rRNA from 1 species